rnacentral:rRNA from 1 species
UACGGAGGGUGCGAGCGUUGUCCGGAAUCACUGGGCGUAAAGGGCGCGUAGGCGGCCUGAUAAGUAGGGGGUGAAAUCCUGCGGCUUAACCGCAGGGCUGCCUUCUAAACUGUCAGGCUAGAGCACAGUAGAGGUAGCUGGAAUUCCCGGUGUAGCGGUGAAAUGCGUAGAUAUCGGGAGGAAUACCUAUGGCGAAAGCAGGCUACUGGACCGUCACUGACUCUGACCUGCGAAAGCUAGGGGAGCAAACAGG